rnacentral:rRNA from 1 species
AUUGAACGCUGGCGGCAUGCCUUACACAUGCAAGUCGAACGGCAGCACGGGAGCAAUCCUGGUGGCGAGUGGCGAACGGGUGAGUAAUAUAUCGGAACGUGCCCGGUCGUGGGGAUAACGUAGCGAAAGCCACGCUAAUACCGCAUACGAUCUAUGGAUGAAAGCGGGGGAUCGCAAGACCUCGCGCGAUUGGAGCGGCCGAUAUCAGAUUAGGUAGUUGGUGAGGUAAAGGCUCACCAAGCCGACGAUCUGUAGCUGGUCUGAGAGGACGACCAGCCACACUGGGACUGAGACACGGCCCAGACUCCUACGGGAGGCAGCAGUGGGGAAUUUUGGACAAUGGGCGCAAGCCUGAUCCAGCAAUGCCGCGUGCAGGAUGAAGGCCUCGGUUGUAAC